rnacentral:rRNA from 1 species
UGGGGAAUAUUGGACAAUGGGGGCAACCCUGAUCCAGCCAUGCCGCGUGAGUGAUGAAGGCCUUCGGGUUGUAAAGCUCUUUUGGCGGGGACGAUGAUGACGGUACCCGCAGAAUAAGCCCCGGCUAACUUCGUGCCAGCAGCCGCGGUAAGACGAAGGGGGCUAGCGUUGUUCGGAAUUACUGGGCGUAAAGCGAGUGUAGGCGGUUGCCGUAGUCAGGUGUGAAAGCCUUGAGCUCAACUCAAGAAAUGCACUUGAUACUGGGUGACUAGAGGACCGGAGAGGAUAGUGGAAUUCCCAGUGUAGUGGUGAAAUACGUAGAGAUUGGGAAGAACACCAGUGGCGAAGGCGGCUAUCUGGACGGUUACUGACGCUAAGACUCGAAAGCGUGGGGAGCAAAACAGGAUUAGAUACCCUGGUAGUCCACGCCGUAAACGAUGGGUGCUAGACGUUGGCGAGCUUGCUCGUCAGUGUCGCAGCUAACGCGUUAAGCA